rnacentral:ribozyme from 1 species
CGUUUUGGUUGCUGCUACCUUGGCGUGGUGGUCGGGCUUGCCUAUCGUGAUGAAUCAAUGGAGAUAUACUGGCUGGAACAAUUGUUCCUCAAGGUCCUACUAUGCCAGGCAGAUCGGUUGAAGAGCGGUAAGACUAAGAGCAGC